GAUGAAGAACGCAGCGAAAUGCGAUAAGUAAUGUGAAUUGCAGAAUUCAGUGAAUCAUCGAAUCUUUGAACGCACAUUGCGCCCGCUGGAAUUCCAGCGGGCAUGCCUGUUCGAGCGUCAUUUCACCCCUCAAGCCUUGCUUGGUGUUGGAGCACUACCGUUUGUAUAAAGCGGUAGGCUCUGAAAUUCAGUGGCGGGCUCGCUAAGACUCUGAGCGUAGUAGUUUAUCACCUCGCUUUGGAAGGAUUAGCGGUGCUCUUGCCGUAAAACCCCCCAACUUCUGAAUUUUGACCUCGGAUCAGGUAGGAAUACCCGCUGAACUUAAGCAUAUCAUAGCGGAGGA
rnacentral:misc_RNA from 1 species